ACGUACACUCCUACGGGAGGCAGCAGUGGGGAAUAUUGCACAAUGGGCGCAAGCCUGAUGCAGCCAUGCCGCGUGUAUGAAGAAGGCCUUCGGGUUGUAAAGUACUUUCAGCGGGGAGGAAGGCAAUACGGUUAAUAACCGUGUUGAUUGACGUUACCCGCAGAAGAAGCACCGGCUAACUCCGUGCCAGCAGCCGCGGUAAUACGGAGGGUGCAAGCGUUAAUCGGAAUUACUGGGCGUAAAGCGCACGCAGGCGGUCUGUCAAGUCGGAUGUGAAAUCCCCGGGCUCAACCUGGGAACUGCAUUCGAAACUGGCAGGCUUGAGUCUUGUAGAGGGGGGUAGAAUUCCAGGUGUAGCGGUGAAAUGCGUAGAGAUCUGGAGGAAUACCGGUGGCGAAGGCGGCCCCCUGGACAAAGACUGACGCUCAGGUGCGAAAGCGUGGGGAGCAAACAGGAUUAGAUACCCCGGUAGUCCCAUG
rnacentral:rRNA from 1 species